GGGGAAGGUCAUAUCUGAGACUUGCUAGAAACCGAGGACGAUGAAAUCACCCAGGAAUCUAUGAGGACAACUCUAUCUAAGCGUCUGAGCAAUGGGGGGUAUGAAGCCUGAACUGGCAGUCACCUAUAACCAGCUGCAGCAAGGAUUCGUAUGUCCCCACGUGUUUUCUUGCUGGCGAGGUCGCGAGGGACAUUUGGUGCCGAGAACCCAGAACAAACACCUCACCAUCGCCGGCGCCGAGGAGAGCCUCCGUUCACGGAAAGGGUCCAGAAGCUGCAGCACGCGGUAUCUUAUAGGAAUUGGGUUUCAACACAUUGAUGGACUAGUCCAGGAAUUGAGACAAUCCAUCGUCCAUAUCAACUCCACUCGAGUGGAUAGUCACCGUGAAAGUGGUGGUGAGAAAGAGAAAAUCCUACCUCUCUGCUGACACCAUCUGGUUUUUUCCCUCUUUGUCUAUUGUCUGUCCUUAGUGCACCAAGAUGUCCCUAUAUGUCAGUUUAUGUCUGUGGUUUUUGUUUCUCAUUGUUUAAAUGUUUUAUGUUUCAUGUUCAAAAGAGAAAAUGGUAAAAACUUUAUCUGCUGGGCGUUCACAUCUUGAUUUGGUUUUAACUCGUUUCAAAAAAGGAACAAAUGAAUAAAAAACAGUUUCAAUCAGGCCUUUAGAGCCCUGCACCUGCAGCCAGGAGUCUAGGUCAGCUGGAGAAGCUGCCCAGGAGCUAAGCGUCUGCACGCGCUGAUCUUAAAGGCGCCAGCAGCUCCUCAGCUUCUUUGGUACAAAGCUGAUAGCUGUUUCUCUUAGAAAAAUCCCUGACUUAUUAUUUGACUCAACAGGUGACAAGGUGCUUCUCUUAAAACCAUAGCUAAAAAGGUAAAAAUGGUGUUUGGUCUAAAUAUUAAAGUUAUGUGUAGCCACUUCAAUUUUGUUUCUCAUUGGUUUUAAAUGUAUAAAUAUGCUCUACAUGCCUUGGUUAUGGACUAUUGGCUUUUAAGUUAUUGGAUAUGGUUAAAAAGGUAUAAUAUUGAUAACAGAAAGUUGACAUAAAGCUGGUAAUUUGGAUAGUGUCAUUCUAGACAACAUGUGGCAUGAGCCAACCUAGGGAAACAGGUCUAAAUUGAGAUAAUAUUUUUAUGGAAUUCUUAUUCUAGAAACCAGGCUUCCAAAAGAAUUUAGGACAAUGUCUCUUUGUUGAGGUACUGGAGACUACACCAUUGUGCGUUCAUAUAUAGGAAUUGGCAGGCAAACUUUGUACUAGAUUUUUGGAGGUCGAGUUUUGCUUUCCAAAGUUGUGGUUUGCCCUGAAGCUAUCUGUAUUUUGAUGCUAAUUCCACUGCCCCAAGAACAGCUGCCUAGUCAGUACUCAGAACUCAGGUGACAUUGUGGCUGUGCUCUGGUGUUACAAGGAGAACUUAAUGGUUAGAACUGGAAAAUAUCAUCCUGAGUGAGCUAAUCCAAUCACAGAAAGACAUACAUGGUAUGCACCCAUUGAUAAGUGGCUAUUAGCCCAAAUGCUUGAAUUACCCUAGAUGCCUAGAACAAAUGAAACUCAAGACGGAUGAUCAAAAUGUGAAUGCUUCACUCCUUCUUUAAAAGGGGAACAAGAAUACCCUUGGCAGGGAAGAGAGAGACAAAGAUUAAAACAGAGACUGAAGGAACACCCAUUCAGAGCCUGCCCCACAUGUGGCCCAUACAUAUACAGCCACCCAAUUAGACAAGAUGGAUG
ensembl:lncRNA